GACGAACGCUGGCGGCGCGCCUAAUACAUGCAAGUCGAACGCUUUUUCUUUCACCGGAGCUUGCUCCACCGAAAGAAAAAGAGUGGCGAACGGGUGAGUAACACGUGGGUAACCUGCCCACUAGAAGGGGAUAACACUUGUAGACAGGUGCUAAUACCGUAUAACACUAUUUUCCGCAUGGAAGAAAGUUGAAAGGCGCUUUUGCGUCACUGAUGGAUGGACCCCGGGUGCAUUAGCUAGUUGGUGAGGUAACGGCCCGCCAAGGCAACGAUGCAUAGCCGACCUGGGGGGGUGAUCGGCCACACUGGGACUGAGACACGGCCCAGACUCCUACGGGAGGCAGCAGUAGGGAAUCUUCGGCAAUGGACGAAAGUCUGACCGAGCAACGCCGCGUGAGUGAAGAAGGUUUUCGGAUCGUAAAACUCUGUUGUUAGAGAAGAACAAGGAUGAGAGUAAAAUGUUCAUCCCUUGACGGUAUCUAACCAGAAAGCCACGGCUAACUACGUGCCAGCCGCCGCGGUAA
rnacentral:rRNA from 1 species